GAUGAACGCUGGCGGCGUGCUUAACACAUGCAAGUCGAACGAUGAAGCCCAGCUUGCUGGGUGGAUUAGUGGCGAACGGGUGAGUAACACGUGAGUAACCUGCCCUUGACUCUGGGAUAAGCCUGGGAAACUGGGUCUAAUACUGGAUAUGACUUCUCAUCGCAUGGUGGGGGGUGGAAAGAUUUAUUGGUCUUGGAUGGACUCGCGGCCUAUCAGCUUGUUGGUGAGGUAAUGGCUCACCAAGGCGACGACGGGUAGCCGGCCUGAGAGGGUGACCGGCCCCACUGGGGAUGGGGACACGGCCGAGCCUCCGUGGGGGGGAAGGGGGGGGAAAUUUCACAAAAGGGGGGAAGGCUGGAGGCGGGGCCCCGGGGGGGGGAAGGCCGCCUUGGGGGUGAAAACCCUUUUUCGGGGGGAAAGAGGGGGGAGGACGGGACCGGGAGAAAGAGGCGCGGCCAACUUACG
rnacentral:rRNA from 1 species